GCUCCGGUGGCCUAGUGGUUAGACUGUCAGCCUCAGAUGCGCUAGGUCGUGGGUUCGAGCCCCGGUCAAAUCA